rnacentral:rRNA from 1 species
UACGUAGGUGCGAGCGUUGUCCGGAAUUAUUGGGCGUAAAGAGCUCGUAGGCGGUGUGUCACGUCGGCCGUGAAAACCUGCAGCUUAACUGUGGGCGUGCGGUCGAUACGGGCAUCACUGGAGUUCGGCAGGGGAGACUGGAAUUCCUGGUGUAGCGGUGAAAUGCGCAGACUAUCAGGAGGAACACCGGUGGCGAAGGCGGGUCUCUGGCCGAUACUGACGCUGAGGAGCGAAAGCGUGGGGAGCAAACAGG